CAGCAGCCGCGGUAAAACGGAGGGUGCAAGCGUUAAUCGGAAUUACUGGGCGUAAAGCGCGCGUAGGUGGUUUGUUAAGCUGGAUGUGAAAUCCCCGGGCUCAACCUGGGAACUGCAUUCAAAACUGAUUGACUAGAGUAUGGUAGAGGGUGGUGGAAUUUCCUGUGUAGCGGUGAAAUGCGUAGAUAUAGGAAGGAACACCAGUGGCGAAGGCGACCACCUGGACUAAUACUGACACUGAGGUGCGAAAGCGUGGGGAGCAAACAGGAUUAGAUACCCGAGUAGUCCCUGUCUCUUAUAU
rnacentral:rRNA from 1 species